CCCGCGAGAGGAUCCCCGAGCGCGUGGUCCACGCCCGGGGCGCCUCCGCCAAGGGCUUCUUCGAGUGCACCCACGACGUCACCGACCUCACCUGCGCCGACUUCCUCCGCGCCCCGGGCGCCCGCACCCCCGUCAUCGUCCGCUUCUCCACCGUCAUCCACGAGCGCGGGUCGCCCGAGACGAUCCGCGACCCGCGGGGCUUCGCGGUCAAGUUCUACACGAGGGAGGGCAACUGGGACCUCUUGGGGAACAACUUCCCCGUCUUCUUCAUCCGCGACGGGAUCAAGUUCCCCGACGUGAUCCACGCCUUCAAGCCCAACCCGAGGUCCCACGUCCAGGAGUACUGGCGCGUGUUCGACUUCCUGUCCCACCUCCCCGAGUCGCUCCACACCUUCUUCUUCUUGUUUGAUGACGUGGGCAUCCCCACCGAUUACCGCCACAUGGAAGGCUUCGGGGUCAACACCUACACGUUCGUGACACGGGAAGGGAAGUCCAAGUACGUCAAGUUCCACUGGAAGCCCACGUGCGGGGUCAGCUGCCUCAUGGACGACGAGGCCACGCUCGUCGGCGGGAAGAACCAUAGCCACGCCACCCAGGACCUCUACGACUCCAUCGACGCCGGCAACUUCCCCGAGUGGAAGCUCUUCGUCCAGGUUACUCAUCAAUCCUCAUCACACCACAACCUUAAAUUCCAUUCCUUUCAAUUUCUAACAAUCUUCAAAAAAUUCUUCAAAAUUGAAUAAACCUCACCAAAAAUUUGCCCCAAAAUUGACUCCAUCGAACAAAUUCUUCUCUGCAG
rnacentral:lncRNA from 1 species